GGUGCAUUUUCAAGUUUUAUUUGGGCUUUAUUUCUUCUUAGAUGCUUGAGGUGUUCUUGCAGAUACAAUUAACAUAGGACGUUAGGUUCUGUUAGGUUCUCAUGCACUGAAAGACAAUUUCUAAUAACACUGCGUAUGUUGGGAUACAAUAAAAAUUUCAAAAGCCAUGUGUAAUUUCAGAAAACUUAAUACCAGUCAUGAAAGACAUUUUCAACAUAAAAUUUAGGCACUCUAUACUUGGGAAUAGCCACAAAAUAUUCCAACAAGAGUUAAUGCACUUUGUGAUUACCUCUACUAAAAGAUAAUUCUC
rnacentral:lncRNA from 1 species